GCUCCUCUACCCAUUUUUUGAUUGGAUUAUUUGCAAAGCCAAUAUCAUUUUGUUGAAUAUUAGUCCCCUGUUUUGCAGUUUUUUUCACUUAAGCCAUACUAAAUUUAAUACCUACUUUUUUUCCAAUUUGUGUUUCUUUUUAGUGGCAUGCAAAGUUAGACACUGUUGGAGCAAUCUUGAGUGUAGGAUUCUUUUAUGUUUUUACUUUCCUCACUCUCCCCAGUUUUCUGUAGUUAUUUCUACCUCCCACUAGUGAUUUAUUGUUUUAAACAACUGGCUUUCAUCUAAUGUGUCAAGUUUACUUUUAGUAACAAAGUGUUACUAAAUAGUAACUCAUAUUUCCUUGGGUUACAUACUGUUUAAUUAAGGUAUAUAGCUAAAAUAACAUGUUUAAGUAGCAUAAACAGAUCUGUGAUUGAAUUGAGCUUAUGCUUAGUAAAGACGUGGUUCAGCUGAGAGCACACGUGUGGAUGUACUCAGUGCUUUAGGUACUCCCAGUGCUUUAGGGCAUUUGGAAGACCAUAAGCAUGUUUCCUGAAUAUGCAUGAACAUGUUUCUAUUCUGUUUUCCUCAGGAUAAAUUAUUUUGAAAUUUCUUUAUCAUCCUACCCACAUUUCUUCUCCCCUUAGACCAGUGAUCUUCCUAAUUUAGAAUGGGAUAGGAGUAAACCAUGUUUGGCUGUCUUCCUGGUAAAGUUCAGGUGUCUAUUCUUGUCCAAAGAAAAAAAUGAAAUAAUUGGGGGAAAAAAUAGGUAGCAAAUAUAAGUGGUCACUUAAUUAUAAGAAUGUUCUAAGCAUAAAAUAAUGGCAGAGUGUAGCAAUUUCUUUCUCCUUGAGUGUGAUCUGGACUUAAGGACUCAAUUCCAAUGGAUCGAGUAUGCUAAGAGGGAUAUAAUAGUUUUGUUAGUGGAGAAACUUAGCAGAUACCACCUACCAAUUGGUCAAGGUUUCUAUCACCCGUGUUAGUAGAGUUAAUCACAUUCAUAGCGUAUCCCCUCAGUUAUGAUGUGAUGAGGAGAGCCCUUCACUUCUUAGGGUCUUCUUCUCCCAAUCCCAUAACCACAGUGUAAUCUUCAGAAAAUAUCAGGCAAACUUAAGUUGAGGGAUAUUCUGACCAGUGCUCUUCAAAAAUCUCAAGGUCAUGAAAAAUAAGGAAAGACUGAGAAACUGACAGAGACCAGAGGACACUAGGGAAGCACGACUCAGUGCAGUGUGUUAUCAUGAAUUGGGUCUUGGAAUAGAAAAAGAGGCAUGAGUGAAAAACUAGGGAAAUCCAGAUAAAGUCUCUCGUUUUGACAAAUCUUCCACAGUUGUGUAAGAUGUUAGCAUUAGGGAAACUGGGUGAAGUGUAUGUGAGAGCUAGGUAGUAUUUUUGUAACUUUUCUGUAAAUCUAAAAUUACUUCCAAAUAAAAUGUUUAUUAAAAAUAGUAAUGUGAGAAAUCACUGAAGAAAGGAUUAGGUGAUUUGAAAUUCAAGACAUGUAAACCAAAUUAAAAGGCAGUAACACUGAGAAAAUAUUUAUUGAAGAUGGUAGACAAGGACAAAUGAUGUAGAAUAUACUUUUACAGAAUAAUAAGAAAAUACUAAUAUGUCACCUCAUUGGAAAAUAGUCAUUGAUCAUGAUUCACAAAAGAAGCACAGUGAUUCAUAAAUAUGAAAACCAGUUCAAUCUCACCAGUAAUUAAAAAAUUGUUUAUUAAAGUAGUAGUGAGAAAAUUGUCACCCAUUACAUGGAAAAGUGAUAUUCAAUUCUGAAGAAGGUAAAUGGAAGAAUUAUAGAUUGGUUUAACCCUUCCAGAAAGCAGGUUGCCAAUACGGGUGUUGGGUUUAAAAAUACACAUAUCAUUUGUGCUUGUAAUUUCACACAAAAUUUUUUUCCCAAGGAAAUAGAUAUGUUCACAAGUUUUCUAGUAGGAGCAUUCAUCUCUGGGUUCCUAAUAAUGAAAGACUCAAAACCCAAAUACCUAACCAGUGAGGGAGUGAUCUGAAAAGUUUUGGCCUACUUACAGAAUAGAAUGGAGUUGUUGAAUGAAAUGUUGAGAGCAAGAGGCAGUUCGUGUAUAUCCUCUGAUCCAGACUUCUGAGCAUGUGUACAACUGUGUUUCUUGAAAGGAUAGGAUACUGAGGAAAUACAUUUGCAAAGUAGUUACUGUCCUAGUAAGGAAAGAAGGAUUUUUGUUUUCUUUAUAUCUCUCUUCAUUUUCAGAACUGUGUGUACUAAGUGUAUAUUACUUUAGUAAUCUGGGGGAAAACUAAUAUGCAAGUAAUGCAGUUGAACAGUUUCAUUUCUUCAUUCUGAUUUAAUUUUUUAAAUGCUACAUAUCCAUUUUUUUCUGUAAACAGUUGAUGUUCCUGUUUCCACUAGGAAGCUCCUCCGGGUGCUCCCAUUGCCGAGUGAGAACUGGGGAGCUCUAGUUGGAGAAUGGUGUUGUCAUCCUGACCCCUUUGCUAAUAAGCCACUUCAUCUGCAGGAGAAUGACUUUUCUUGGAGACACUUUCUUCUUGUGUGACUUCCUGGUUCCUGAACC